rnacentral:sRNA from 1 species
AUGUACUUCUCGUACACUCCGGUUCCUCCGUUCCGGCCUCACUACGCUGACGGGCGCUCGCUGCUUUUAAAGUGCUAGGC